rnacentral:rRNA from 1 species
UAGGGAAUCUUCGGCAAUGGGGGGAACCCUGACCGAGCAACGCCGCGUGAGUGAAGAAGGUUUUCGGAUCGUAAAGCUCUGUUGUUAAGGAAGAACGAGUGUGAGAAUGGAAAGUUCAUGCUGUGACGGUACCUAACCAGAAAGCCACGGCUAACUACGUGCCAGCAGCCGCGGUAAUACGUAGGUGGCAAGCGUUGUCCGGAAUUAUUGGGCGUAAAGCGCGCGCAGGUGGUUUAGAAAGUCUGAUGUGAAAGCCCACGGCUCAACCGUGGAGGGUCAUUGGAAACUAAUAAACUUGAGUGCAGGAGAGAAAAGUGGAAUUCCUAGUGUAGCGGUGAAAUGCGUAGAGAUUAGGAGGAACACCGGUAGCGAAAGCGGCUUUUUGGCCUGCAACUGACACUGAGGCGCGAAAGCGUGGGGAGCAAACAGG